GCAGCGACGGGCUGAAGUGCGUCGCGGGACCGCGACCCUCUGUCCUUCCGCGCCGCCCGGCGGGGAAGGGCCGGCAGGGUUUGAGACCCAACAGGAGCCACAAGAUCCCUUCUGAGGAAAAAAAAAAGAAAAAGAAGAAUUGUGAAAGAGAAUAUCACAGAACUCUGCUGUCCUGUGUUUUUACAAUUUAUCAAACCUAGAUUGUUUUUCUCGUUAAUAAAAGGAAACGUCAUACAACAGGUAGAGCCAUCUGGACACUGUAGAGGGGUGUCAUACUUCCUCCAUCAUCCCGCUCCCUCCCUAUGCCCAGCACAACAGCCUAUGCCACCUGCAGUCUGGGUCAUGCCCUUGAGGUUCACUGCGGGAUGGAUGUUGGGACUGGGGCAUGAUUGUGAUCCAAAUACGUGGUGAACGUGUACUAUAUCUAAGAACUAAUAAAAGUUUAUA